rnacentral:tRNA from 1 species
GCCAGGGUGGCUCAGCAGUUGAGCAUCUGCCUUCCCCUCAGGGCCUGAUCCCAGGAUGUGGGAUCGAGUCCCACUUCGGGCA